UGUAAGACAUGCCUUUCGCCUUCCACCGUGAUUAUGAGGCCUCCCCAGCCACGUGGAACGCAUACACUUAAUAAUUCAUUACCUAUUAAGCUUCUUCUCAGCUGAGGUCAUGCAAAAAUGACUCACUUGCAUAUGAUACUUUCCUUGAGGAAUUAAACCAUAAACGCCCUCCUUGCAUUGUGUAUUGAGGGAGAAGAUUCCUAGAAGCAACAUUCAUCGUCUCUCUUUUCAAUGAUGGACAACUCUCUGCUGUGCCAAAUAUACUAACUUUAACCACCCACUGCCAAACUCACACCUCCUUGUUCAACAAGCCAGUUACGGGCAGUGAAUGAAUCUACGAUGCUGAACAGCCCCGUGGGCAUCUUCUCACUGGGCACUGGCUAGAAUGCAGUUGGAUUAGACUUUCACAAUUGCUUUGUUUUCAAGCCAGGAAGGAGAAAUUGAAGGCAAUUCACCACCUUUCUAUAUCCAAGAUGAAAACACAGCACUCUCCUAAACUUCAGAAGUAUAACUCAGUGGGUUAGUACUUCAGAUCUAGCCUGAGGCAAAAUUAUGAUUUUUCCAAAAGAUUUUCUUUUUUUAGCAUUCUUUUCCUUACACGCAGGCCUUUGAUCAAGCUACAGUUUUGAACUGAUUACAGCUUUUGAAGCCUCAGAAGAUUUAAAGACCCACAUUGUUAACAAUGGUGUUUUAGGUGUGUGGCGUAUUAGAGGAGUCGGCUAAUUCUAAGUCCUCAAGUGCUCAGAAAACAACAUUAAAAAGUCUGACAUUUGAAAAGUAUGGAAUUAAACAUCAUGGAACUGGCUUUAAGAAGGUAUCCAUUCGUGGCAUGAAAAUGUGAAGAACUUUCUUUCUUUGCAAUGUGAGUUCAAGGAAACGCCCAAGAGUGGAUGUUCCAUCGUAAAUGCUCUGCCCCCAGCUUUUCAAAGGACACAGAAAUUGCACCCAGCAAAGAUGUCCUGUCAAAAUGAUUUAAAAGAAGAAAAAGAAAGUUGCUAGAGGGGAACUGGUACUCCAGAUCAAAAAACAAUUUUAAGUGGUCUAUUUUGGUGGUCUGUGUUGAGACAUAUAACAGCCCAGGCUGCUGUUUUUCCAAGAGGUUAAAUUUCAAAAAGAGGAAACAACAGCAAACAGGCUGCCAAUUUACUCAACAAUGUCACAACUGGCUGGAGCUCUGUUCAAAGCAAAACCGCUGAUUUACAAAUUCCUGGAUUUACUCUUAAAUAUUAACACUUCUUAGGAAACUUUAGACCUUACAUGUCACAUUUAUGACUCCUAGGCAGACACAACCCUCUCCAAACACAUGGUCCUCAUGACAACUCUUUGCCAUGUAUUUCAGCCCCACUAAGGGAAGCCACUGUCAACUCAACCUGUGAUGCCAAGAAGCAGCCCAGGUACCAAGGGACAUAGACUGGAGUCAACAUUAGAUGCGUUUCUGUAUGGUGUAGCUUGGAGGAGGAUGUUUACAGCACAAUUCCGCAAUAAUAUGCUGUAGCAGACAGAAGUUUCCCUUCUAUCAGACAAAGAACUAGUCAGGGAAGGCAAGCUGGCUAGACCACGGUUCAGUUUUUCUCAUCUCCUUUCUGCAAGUGGAAAAUCUGCUGGCUGGCAGUGGAAAUAAUAGGGAAACCACCUCAGAAUGUUGGAGAAGAGGAUGGGGGAGGAGUUGCAGCUCAGGAAUCCUUCAAAGAAGACAUGUGGGGAGAGGAAGACAGCACACAGAAGCAGGGAGAGGUUAAGAGUAUGAACCUUACCAACAGGUAAAAAUGUGUCAUAUUAAUUUUUUCAACAUCAACAAACACGUCAAAAGAUGGAGCACUGAAAGCUGCAUUUUAAACAAAUGCCCCAGGUAAUGUAUACUGAAAAUGCAAUCCUGAUGUCCUAGGUGGCAGGAUUAUUGUUGUUGGAGAAUGCUCCUGUAAAUUUCUUUUCCAGUCUUCUCUCCUCACUUUCCAUGCCUAAGGAGUCUAAGUCCCACUGCCCCUGCUAAUUGUCCCUGGUUAAUUAGAAUGGAGAAUGACCCCUGAACCAACAUGGGCCCAUGAGCCGCACUGGUGAAUUGUCAUUCAGACCCAAAGGCUAGUCAGUCUCCCUGGGCAUUGAGAAGCAACAGAAAGCAAGUAUGUUCUUUGAUUACAGACUAAUUUUCUAGCCCCAGAGUUGGAACUAAAAUAUGCAGAUAGGAUAGUGGCAAGAGACAGACAAAUGCCUAGGCAGAUAAGGGGUGUCCCUGGAGAACCUCUGACCUGCCCAGGUCAUUGUGCACCAGGGUUUUGCCUAAACAUGCCCAUGGUGAAAAAUUUCAUCCCUUAACACAUGCAGUGUACAGUGGCUCAGACUAAGGGCCUGCAGGCACAUUGGAAAGACAGGGUAGAGCCACCAAAAAUUCGCUCCUUAUGCAGGGGAAGAGCCUGGCCUCCAGCUUGUGUGUGGUGGCCUGGUAUUCAAUUUGUGAGAUGGAAACCUGUGUCCAGGACCCCUCUCUUUGCUGACAGCUUUCCUUUCGCUUAAUAAAUUCCAUCCUCCUC
rnacentral:lncRNA from 10 species